rnacentral:tRNA from 1 species
UGUAGUAUAGUUGGUUAGGAUACUCGGCUCUCACCCGAGAGACCCAGGCUCAAGUCCUGGCA